GUGAAAUUCGCGCGUAUAUUACAGUAGAAUAUUGUUCAAUAGCUGUGAAGUGAGUCGUGGAAGUACCGAGAAAAGUUUUGUCCGUUCGCUAUGUAACGGCAUUUCGGCUUUCGUGUUGCUGAGAUUUGCGUCCUCGACUCACGGAUUGAAUCGAAAUCUGUGAAUCGUUAGAUAUAAUAAUCUAACGCAUAUGUGCCAUAGCAUCGUUCAAUAUCUGCUAGAAGCGGUCAUCUACUUCAUCGGGAAUACCCAGCCAAGCUACGUGACCGUUUUUUAUCAUGGCCGACUUUUCGGAUCGUAUGGCCGGAGCGACAGACCCAGAGCCAUCUAUUGAAGGAAGGAAGAAAGGAAGGAUCGUAUGGCGGACUCUAUUCGAGUGAAACAUCGUGAUAGGUUCGAGAAGGACGACGAGAGCAACGAGAACGACGAUGAGGACGACGAGGGAUUAGGACGCCAGUGAGACGUGUUCAUCGAGUUAGUGCACAAGUGAAAAGUGAAUCAAGUGGAAAGUGAUAAGUGUUGUGAAAAAGGCCUGUAAUUAUUAUUAAAGUGAAAGUGUUUAAAUUGUGCUACGAAGAAAUAUUGUUAAGUGUCCUUGGAUAUAUUUUGUGAAGAGGAUCUUCAGAAACGACUAAAGAAACUCUUUAUAGAACUCUUGCAGGACUGUAAAUUUGGGAAAAUCUCACAAUGUAUGCGCGGAUAUCAUAACUUGGUCAGACAGAGAUAAGGACGCUUCUGUCGAGGCUGUACCCGCUGCCCCUCGACUACAAUCUAGUCAUGUAGUUCGAGAGCGCGAUCACGAAUUGCUGUCGUCGCGCGAACCUGCCGGAGAUCGUCAACGUGCCACCCGGCGAGAGAUACCUGGACUCG